GCCCUGUUUUUAACAGCAAACAGGUAGAAAGAAAUUGACCUUCAGAGAAGGACUUAAUAAGCUGGACAUAGUGGCGCAUGCCUGUAGUCCCAGCUACUUGGGAGGCCAAGGUGGGAGGAUGGCUUGAGCCUGGAGGAUGGAGGUUGUAGUAAGCUGAGAUGGCGCCACUGCACUCCAGCCUGGGUGAUAGGGCCAGACCUUGUCUCAAAAAUAAAAUAAAAUAAAAUAAUUUAAA
rnacentral:lncRNA from 1 species